GACGAACGCUGGCGGCGUGCUUAACACAUGCAAGUCGAACGGAAAGGCCCUGCUUUUGUGGGGUGCUCGAGUGGCGAACGGGUGAGUAACACGUGAGUAACCUGCCCUUGACUUUGGGAUAACUUCAGGAAACUGGGGCUAAUACCGGAUAGGAGCUCCUGCUGCAUGGUGGGGGUUGGGAAGUUUCGGCGGUUGGGGAUGGACUCGCGGCUUAUCAGCUUGUUGGUGGGGUAGUGGCUUACCAAGGCUUUGACGGGUAGCCGGCCUGAGAGGGUGACCGGCCACAUUGGGACUGAGAUACGGCCCAGACUCCUACGGGAGGCAGCAGUGGGGAAUAUUGCACAAUGGGCGGAAGCCUGAUGCAGCAACGCCGCGUGCGGGAUGACGGCCUUCGGGUUGUAAACCGCUUUCGCCUGUGACGAAGCGUUAGUGACGGUAAUGGGUAAAGAAGCACCGGCUAACUACGUG
rnacentral:rRNA from 1 species